rnacentral:rRNA from 2 species
UUGUUUUUUCAUAGCGGAGGAAAAGAAACCAACAGGGAUUGCCUCAGUAACGGCGAGUGAAGCGGCAAAAGCUCAAAUUUGAAAUCCCCCGGGAAUUGUAAUUUGAAGGUGGCCUCAGUUAGUCCAAACAUUCUUAAGUCCAUUGGAAAAUGGCGCCAUGGAGGGUGAUAGCCCCGUAAAGAUGUCGUUUGUUCUAUUUUCUCUGGCCACCAAAGAGUCGAGUUGUUUGGGAAUGCAGCUCUAAGUGGGUGGUAAAUUCCAUCUAAAGCUAAAUAUUGGCGAGAGACCGAUAGCGAACAAGUACAGUGAUGGAAAGAUGAAAAGCACUUUGAAAAGAGAGUGAAAAAGUACGUGAAAUUGUUGAAAGGGAAGGGCUUGCAAGCAGACACAACCUCGUGUUGGGCCAGCAUCGGGGCGAGAGGAAGUAAAAACGAUUUGGAAAUGUAACUUUCGAGUAUUAUAGACCUUAUCCCUCCCUUCCAUCUCAUCC